AUGCAUCUAUUUGACAGGCCUGGAGCAGUCACUGUCUACUGCUCAGGUUUCCAUUACAGAUGCGAGAAGAAAGCAUCCUCACGCUUUCUGUCCGUCUGAUUGAGGCAGCCCAGACUGAAUGGGGGAAUACCAGG
rnacentral:snoRNA from 1 species